rnacentral:rRNA from 1 species
AAUUUGUUUCUAUGCCUAGAUUUAUACCCGAACCCUUAUCGAAUUCGAGUGUCCUCGUCUAGGUAGCCACACAUACUAGUUUUUCUGGGAACCAUGGCUCUUUAAAAUUUUAAUUAUGUGUAAAUAAAAAGUUUGC